GACGAACCCUGGCGGCGUUCCUAAUACAUGCAAGUUGAGCGCUGAAGGUUGGUACUUGUACCAACUGGAUGAGCAGCGAACGGGUGAGUAACGCGUGGGGAAUCUGCCUUUGAGCGGGGGACAACAUUUGGAAACGAAUGCUAAUACCGCAUAAAAACUUUAAACACAAGUUUUAAGUUUGAAAGAUGCAAUUGCAUCACUCAAAGAUGAUCCCGCGUUGUAUUAGCUAGUUGGUGAGGUAAAGGCUCACCAAGGCGAUGAUACAUAGCCGACCUGAGAGGGUGAUCGGCCACAUUGGGACUGAGACACAGCCCAAACUCCUACGGGAGGCAGCAGUAGGGAAUCUUCGGCAAUGGACGAAAGUCUGACCGAGCAACGCCGCGUGAGUGAAGAAGGUUUUCGGAUCGUAAAACUCUGUUGGUAGAGAAGAACGUUGGUGAGAGUGGAAAGCUCAUCAAGUGACGGUAACUACCCAGAAAGGGACGGCUAACUACGUG
rnacentral:rRNA from 1 species